GCCAAAAAUCUAGCCCAACAAACAUGAAUUUAACCAAAAUAACUAAUUUUAUUUAACAAACCAUUCUAUUCUUUGAGUAAAGGAGAUUGAAAAAUUUUUUUGGAGCUAUAACAAUAGUACCGCAAGGGAAUGAUGAAAUAUUUUAUGAAAACCUUCAAGCAAUAAAAAGUAAUGAUUAUCCCAUGUACCUUUUGCAUCAUGGUUUAACUAGUCUAAUCAAGCAAAAUGUGUUUUAGUUUGACCUCCCGAAACUAAGUGAGCUACUUCAAGGCAGCUGAAAGAGCUAACCCGUCCCUGUUGCAAAAGGGUGGGGGGACCUUCAAGUAGGGGUGACAGACCUACCGAACUUAGUGAUAGCUGGUUACUCAAGAAAAGGAUCUAAGUCCAACCUAAAAUUUCUUGUUAGUACAUUAAAACAACCCUCCAAAUUUUAGCGUAAUUCAAAUAAGGUACAGCCUAUUUGAAAUAGGAUACAACCUAAGCCAACGGAUAAUAUUAGCCUAUUAUACAACCAAGUGGGCCUAAAAGCAGCCAUCUUUAGAAUUGCGUCAAAGCUUAAUUGUUCACACGCCCAAUUACCUAAUUACCACACGAUUCCUCUACCAGUACUGAGUAAUUCUAUACUAUUAUAGAAAAUUUAAUGUUAAAACUAGUAACAAGAAGAAGACCUUCUCUGAAAUGCAAGUGUAAAACAGACAGGACAAACCACUGAUACUUAACAUAUUUGAGUCCAAAGUAAUAACUUACCAAGAAAAUAUUACUCAUAUUAAUGUUAACCUAACACAAGAGCAUUUUAAGAAAGAUUAAAAGAAAAAGAAGGAACUCGGCAAAUAAUAACCUCGCCUGUUUACCAAAAACAUCGCCUCUUGACCCACAUAAGAGGUCCAGCCUGCCCAGUGACUCUGUUCAACGGCCGCGGUAUCCUAACCGUGCGAAGGUAGCGUAAUCACUUGUUCUUUAAUUGUGGACUAGUAUGAAUGGCACCACGAGGGUUAUACUGUCUCCUUUUUCUAAUCAGUGAAACUAAUCUCCCCGUGAAGAAGCGGGGAUAUGACUAUAAGACGAGAAGACCCUAUGGAGCUUUAAACAUUUAUAGCAAUUACCAUACAACAUAUAACUUCCUGAACACUUAUUCUUAAGGUAGUAUGACUACAAGUUUUUGGUUGGGGUGACCACGGAGCAUAAAAUAACCUCCAUAUUGAAAGAAAAUUUUCUAAGCUAAAACCUACACGUUUAAGCAUCAGCACACUGACAUUCAUUGACCCAAUAUAUUUGAGCAACGAACCAAGUUACCCUAGGGAUAACAGCGCAAUCCACUUUAAGAGCCCUUAUCGACAAGUGGGUUUACGACCUCGAUGUUGGAUCAGGGUAUCCCAGUGGUGCAGCCGCUACUAAAGGUUCG
rnacentral:rRNA from 1 species